UAGGGAAUUUUCCACAAUGGGGACAACCCUGAUGGAGCAAUGCCGCGUGAGAGAAGAAGGCCUUCGGGUUGUAAAUCUCUGUUAUAAGGGAGGAAAGGUAUCAAGAGGAAAUGCUUGAUAUUUGACAAUACCUUAUCAGAAAGCCACGGCUAACUAUGUGCCAGCAGCUGCGGUAAUACAUAGGUGGCGAGCGUUGUCCGGAUUUAUUGGGCGUAAAGAGCUCGUAGGCGGUUUAGUAAGUCGGGUGUU
rnacentral:rRNA from 1 species